rnacentral:rRNA from 1 species
UACGUAGGGACCAAGCGUUGUUCGGAUUUACUGGGCGUAAAGGGCGCGUAGGCGGCGCGGUAAGUCACUUGUGAAAUCUCUGAGCUUAACUCAGAACGGCCAAGUGAUACUGCAGUGCUAGAGUGUGGAAGGGGCAAUCGGAAUUCUUGGUGUAGCGGUGAAAUGCGUAGAUAUCAAGAGGAACACCUGAGGUGAAGACGGGUUGCUGGGCCAACACUGACGCUGAUGCGCGAAAGCCAGGGGAGCAAGCGGG